rnacentral:piRNA from 1 species
UNUGAUGCAGGCCUUACUAGGUGCAGUUU